GAGUUUGAUCCUGGCUCACGACGAACGUCAUGGCGGCCGUGCCUAAUACGUGCGAGUCGAACGCGUUCUUUCCUCCCGAGUGCUUGCACUCAAUUGGAAAGAGGAGUGGCGGACGGGUGAGUAACACGUGGGUAACCUACCCAUCAGAGGGGGAUAACACUUGGAAACAGGUGCUAAUACCGCAUAACAGUUUAUGCCGCAUGGCAUAAGAGUGAAAGGCGCUUUCGGGUGUCGCUGAUGGAUGGACCCGCGGUGCAUUAGCUAGUUGGUGAGGUAACGGCUCACCAAGGCUACGAUGCAUAGCCGACCUGAGAGGGUGAUCGGCCACACUGGGACUGAGACACGGCCCAGACUCCUACGGGAGGCAGCAGUAGGGAAUCUUCGGCAAUGGACGAAAGUCUGACCGAGCAACGCCGCGUGAGUGAAGAAGGUUUUCGGAUCGUAAAACUCUGUUGUUAGAGAAGAACAAGGACGUUAGUAACUGAACGUCCCCUGACGGUAUCUAACCAGAAAGCCACGGCUAACUACGUGCCAGCAGCCGCGGUAAUACGUAGGUGGCAAGCGUUGUCCGGAUUUAUUGGGCGUAAAGCGAGCGCAGGCGGUUUCUUAAGUCUGAUGUGAAAGCCCCCGGCUCAACCGGGGAGGGUCAUUGGAAACUGGGAGACUUGAGUGCAUAACAGGACAGUGGAAUUUCCAUGUGUAGCGGUUGAAAUGCGUAAAUAUAUGGAGGAACACCAGUGGCGAAGGGGGCUCUUUGGGUUAUGUAACUGACGCUGAGGCUCGAAAAGCGUGGGGAGCAAACAGGACUAAAUACCCUGGGUAGUCCACGCCCGUAAACGAUUGAAUGCCUAAGUGUUGAAAGGGUUUCCACCCUUCAGUGCUGCAGCAAACGCAUUAAGCACUCCGCCUGGGGAGUACGACCGCAAGGUUGAAACUCAAAGGAAUUGACGGGGGCCCGCACAAGCGGUGGAGCAUGUGGUUUAAUUCGAAGCAACGCGAAGAACCUUACCAGGUCUUGACAUCCUUUGACCACUCUAGAGAUAGAGCUUUCCCUUCGGGGACAAAGUGACAGGUGGUGCAUGGUUGUCGUCAGCUCGUGUCGUGAGAUGUUGGGUUAAGUCCCGCAACGAGCGCAACCCUUAUUGUUAGUUGCCAUCAUUUAGUUGGGCACUCUAGCGAGACUGCCGGUGACAAACCGGAGGAAGGUGGGGAUGACGUCAAAUCAUCAUGCCCCUUAUGACCUGGGCUACACACGUGCUACAAUGGGAAGUACAACGAGUCGCUAGACCGCGAGGUCAUGCAAAUCUCUUAAAGCUUCUCUCAGUUCGGAUUGCAGGCUGCAACUCGCCUGCAUGAAGCCGGAAUCGCUAGUAAUCGCGGAUCAGCACGCCGCGGUGAAUACGUUCCCGGGCCUUGUA
rnacentral:rRNA from 1 species